AUUGAUAGCUCGUUUCUCUUCGUAUAAGUCUGAGGUAAGUUCUUAUGUUAAUAAGCAUUAACGUAAUUGUGUUUCAAAUGCUUUAUAAUUGUAUUGUUGAUGAAUACGACAUUACGAAAAUGUUCGAUGAAGAUUUGACAAUGUGUAAAUCCCGGUAGAACCUUAGGAAUAGAUUAGGAUACAAAUGACAAGUUAUUAAGGGUUAUUAUGUUUGGGUGCUGGUCGUACGUUUUACCGGUGGUUGAGUUUUUUGGCAUGUGUUGUAGAUUCUUGUCAGCUUGUGUGAGCAGCACCGUGUAGUUACAUCUUGACCG
rnacentral:lncRNA from 1 species